rnacentral:rRNA from 1 species
AUUGAACGCUGGCGGCGUGCCUAAUACAUGCAAGUCGAGCGAAGCGGGGACGGGUGAGUAACACGUGGAUAACAUCCUAGAAGAAUGGGAUAAAUUCGGGGAAACGGAGCUAAACCGGGUACUUAGACAUGGUUCCACGGGGCAUUAGCUAGUUGGUAAGGUAACGGCUUACCAAGGCAACGAUGCAUAGCCGACCUGAGAGGGUGAUCGGCCAGACUGGAACUGAGACACGGUCCAGACUCCUACGGGAGGCAGCAGUAGGGAAUCUUCCGCAAUGGGCGAAAGCCUGAUGGAGCAACGCCGCGUGAGUGAUGAAGGUCUUCGGAUCGUAAAACUCUGUUAGUAGGGAAGCGGUACCUAAUCAGAAAGCCCCGGCUAACUCCGUGCCAGCAGCCGCGGUAAUAC